GUGUCAGCAGCCGCGGUAAUACGGAGGAGGCAAGCGUUAUCCGGAAUUAUUGGGCGUAAAGCGUCCGUAGGUGGCUAGUCAAGUCUGCGGUCAAAGACUGGGGCUUAACCCUGGAAAGGCCGUGGAAACUGACGAGCUAGAGUGCAGUAGGGGUAGAGGGAAUUCCCGGUGUAGCGGUGAAAUGCGUAGAGCUCGGGAAGAACAUCGGUGGCGAAAGCGCUCUACUGGACUGCAACUGACACUCAGGGACGAAAGCUAGGGGAGCGAAUGGGAUUAGAUACCCCAGUAGUCC
rnacentral:rRNA from 1 species